rnacentral:rRNA from 1 species
GAUGAACGCUGGCGGCGUGCCUAAUACAUGCAAGUCGAGCGAACAGACGAGGAGCUUGCUCCUCUGACGUUAGCGGCGGACGGGUGAGUAACACGUGGAUAACCUACCUAUAAGACUGGGAUAACUUCGGGAAACCGGAGCUAAUACCGGAUAAUAUAUUGAACCGCAUGGUUCAAUAGUGAAAGACGGUUUUGCUGUCACUUAUAGAUGGAUCCGCGCCGCAUUAGCUAGUUGGUAAGGUAACGGCUUACCCAGGCGACGAUGCGUAGCCGACCUGAGAGGGUGAUCGGCCACACUGGAACUGAGACACGGUCCAGACUCCUACGGGAGGCAGCAGUAGGGAAUCUUCCGCAAUGGGCGAAAGCCUGACGGAGCAACGCCGCGUGAGUGAUGAAGGUCUUCGGAUCGUAAAACUCUGUUAUUAGGGAAGAACAAAUGUGUAAGUAACUAUGCACGUCUUGACGGUACCUAAUCAGAAAGCCACGGCUAACUACGUG